rnacentral:rRNA from 1 species
CCUACGGGAGGCUGCAGUGAGGAAUAUUGGUCAAUGGGCGGAAGCCUGAACCAGCCAAGUAGCGUGCAGGAUGACGGCCCUACGGGUUGUAAACUGCUUUUAUACGGGAAUAACGCGCCUUACGUGUAGGGCUUUGCAUGUACCGAAUGAAUAAGGACAGGCUAAUUCCGUGCCAGCAGCCGGGGUAAUCCGGACGGUCCGGGGGUUAUCCGGAUUUAGUGGGUUUAAAGGGAGCGUCGGCCGAAUGUCAAGCGUGCUGGGAAAUGUCCGGGCUCAACCCGGGCCUUGCAGCGCUAACGGGCGUGCUUGAGUCCGCGGCAAGCAGGCGGCAUUCGUCGUGUAGCGGU